UGGGGAAUCUUGCGCAAUGGGCGAAAGCCUGACGCAGCCAUGCCGCGUGAAUGAUGAAGGUCUUAGGAUUGUAAAAUUCUUUCACCGGGGACGAUAAUGACGGUACCCGGAGAAGAAGCCCCGGCUAACUUCGUGCCAGCAGCCGCGGUAAUACGAAGGGGGCUAGCGUUGCUCGGAAUUACUGGGCGUAAAGGGAGCGUAGGCGGACAUUUAAGUCAGGGGUGAAAUCCCGGGGCUCAACCUCGGAAUUGCCUUUGAUACUGGGUGUCUUGAGUGUGAGAGAGGUAUGUGGAACUCCGAGUGUAGAGGUGAAAUUCGUAGAUAUUCGGAAGAACACCAGUGGCGAAGGCGACAUACUGGCUCAUUACUGACGCUGAGGCUCGAAAGCGUGGGGAGCAAACAGGAUUAGAUACCCUGGUAGUCCACGCCGUAAACGAUGAUUGCUAGUUGUCGGGAUGCAUGCAUUUCGGUGACGCAGCUAACGCAUUAAGCAAUCCGCCUGGGGAGUACGGUCGCAAGAUUAAAACUUAAAGGAAUUGACGGGGUCAUAGCUGUUUCCUG
rnacentral:rRNA from 1 species